GUCUGAUGGGAUGUGAAGCCAUUCUCCAUUAUUUACUUCCCUCCACACCUUAAUCUUCUCAAGUCCUGAUGAAACAAUCUGCUGCGAACGGGAUUAUCCUCUUCUUCAGAUCAAACAUUUGUGUGGUUCCUUGAAAGAAUCUGCACCAGGGAGCCGAGUCCCAGUCAACAGCUGGCGCUAUCAAUAUUAAUAUUACCUCCGCCGGCCCUGGAUCCUGACAUGAUCCCACACAAGCUCCCCGAUACAUAAGGCAGACGUUUUAGCCCUGGCACAGAACCUCUGAUCUUCACUCCGGGCCGCGGAUCAGCCAAGAGCAGCGGGACGGAAGGCAAUGAUGCAAAAGAUUGGACAGGUAAGCUGGUGCUAACAGGAACGCAAUGAAACGAGUCCUGUGGCGAGGCAGCAGCUGCGUGGACCAGCUGGACACAGCAGCACGGGGUGAAACGAAGGCCUCGCGUCUCUGCUAAGAGAAGCUGGUAGUGAAUGCAACAACAUUCUACACGAGGAAGGUUGGUGGAUCUACAGUACGACUAAGGCCAGUUACCACCCCAGGAUUCAAUGUGGCGACUAUGUCUGGGACGAGUAGAACCCAAUGCUCAUGUGUUUAUAUAUGACACCAUGUGCAAAGAAUGGAAAAUAGCUUCUUGUAUCCCUUUAAAUGGGAGAAGCUGAGCUACUGUAUAAGAAAGUCUGACAUUUCAAAGCAGUUACAAUAAUUAGGCGUCAUUUUAGUAACUACACACACACACACACACACACACACACUAGUGAUUCAGGUUAGCACAGCAUGUGGUAACGACAGACGGGUCAUGAGCAGGAGGCACGAUGUGAGUUGUGAUGUCAGCAGCCCUGGUGGUGACAAAUCUGAGGCGGAUUCUCACAAGUCGCUGCAGACGCACGAGUGCGUCGGCAUCAGCGCGACUGACAGGACGCUGCAUGUACGUCAAGCGAAAUAAGCCCUCCGUGCUCUGAGAUAGGGAGCGAGGAGAUUCAAAGCACGCAUGAAUCCACCUUAACUCAGCUCCUUCCUCCACUCUUUUCGUGGCUUCUUCCAGUUGCAGUUUCAGGCCUGAGAGGCUGGAAACGUAUUGUGAUCAUCAUCAUCACAGGUUCACCAGCCUCUUCAUCCCCCCACAGACAGUGUGUGUGUGUGUGUGUGUGUGUGUGUGUGUGUGUGUGUGUGUGUGUGUGUGUGUGUGUGUGUGUGUGUGUGUGUGUGUGUGUGUGUGUGUGUGUGUGUGUGUGUGUGUGUGUGUGUGUUGGGUUAUUAUGUACCCACAUGGCUGAUGCAGCAGAUUUGCUCCUCUGUAAUUCAUCAACGUCAGCUGCUCGUGGACAUCGACUAAUAGCUGUAUCAGUUCAACUCCUUCUCACCCACUGUGUCUCUCAGCGUCUGAAGUCACCGCCGUCACGCUGUUCUGUCGCCGCUGUUGUUUUGUGUAUGCCGUGAGUGCGCACAUGUUUUUUUUUUCCUGUGCACCGUAAUGGAUGAGAUCCCAGAAUAGCUGCGUGACUCAGAACAGUUAAAUUAAACAUGACUUUGCACAACAAACUUCUGUUUUGAUUUUAUCAAGCGACAUGAGCUGAGAACGCCUUCAAUAACCAGGACAGGAAGAAGAAUCAUGUUCCUUCC